rnacentral:rRNA from 1 species
ACGAACGCUGGCGGCGUGCCUAAUACAUGCAAGUAGAACGCUGAAGAGAGGAGCUUGCUCUUCUUGGAUGAGUUGCGAACGGGUGAGUAACGCGUAGGUAACCUGCCUUGUAGCGGGGGAUAACUAUUGGAAACGAUAGCUAAUACCGCAUAACAAUGGAUGACACAUGUCAUUUAUUUGAAAGGGGCAAUUGUUCCACUACAAGAUGGACCUGCGUUGUAUUAGCUAGUAGGUGAGGUAAUGGCUCACCUAGGCGACGAUACAUAGCCGACCUGAGAGGGUGAUCGGCCACACUGGGACUGAGACACGGCCCAGACUCCUACGGGAGGCAGCAGUAGGGAAUCUUCGGCAAUGGGGGCAACCCUGACCGAGCAACGCCGCGUGAGUGAAGAAGGUUUUCGGAUCGUAAAGCUCUGUUGUAAGUCAAGAACGGGUGCGAGAGUGGAAAGUUCACACUGUGACGGUAGCUUACCAGAAAGGGACGGCUAACUACGUG